CAUUAAACCCACCUGCCUGUGUCGGUCCCCCUGUUCUACCAAAACAGCAGCAACCCACAUCCCAGAAUUGCAUUCUUCUCACCAUUGGCUACACUCAAUUGUAAGGGUAAGAUGUGGGCAUGGAGGUGGCCUUUAGGGAUAAAGUAUUAGAAAUCUGGGAAUCUAUAAUAAUUGUGUGACUGGGCUGUGAGGUUGCACCACUGUAACACUUCACAUUAUGGAAGUGAGAACUGGAGGAGGAGAACGAGGAAACCACCUGAAAAUAAACAAAGUUCAACAAUGUCAAAAUUAAACGACAACAAAGUGUUUUUCCUCAGUGGUUGUACAAAUUCAAGAUUGUAACAAACUAAGCAAUGACCAUUCAAGAAUCAGCAUCGCACUGUUUUCCGUUUGUGGUUACUUAGUGUCUGUUUGUGCUCUGUUAUAAAUCCAUUAUGGGAACAUUGCUCAAUUAGAAAUGAGAUUGGAUAUAAAUUGUAUUGAAGUGAAUAAAUAGCUUUUUCUUAAUAUGUAGUUCCUACAAAAUGUGUACGUGCAUUUAUAGAUUUGAUUGGUGAGAUUGAGAAACGCCUCUUUGAGCAUCAAGGACACCAGAGUGGGACGAGCCCCAUCUACUCCUUAAGUGAUCUGGAAAAGGGAUAUUUCAGGACUGCAGGAGAAGUGUUUUCCGUUAGCCUUGCUCAGGGUGGACCAGCCCCCUGUUUCUUGAGACAGUGGUGCUUUGAUUAUCUCUCAGCAGGAGAUCUGGAUGAAGCAAAUCUCACUAAAGAUGAUGUGGAUGAUGCUGAACUUUGAAUUGAUUCAAAAAAUGCAUUUCAUCAUAUCAGGUGGAAGAAGAGACUGAUCUUUCUGCUUGGACCAGUGAUAUCAUUAGUUGUGGUUAUACUGGUCUGAUUAAACCAGACGACAAAGAGGCUAUACUAAGCCAAACAUCGUAGGUCUGACUCAACGGAACGACUAACGUUACGACUUUCACAGUUUAUAAGAAGUCCAUGCAGUGCCGCUUCUGCAAGUUUUCAUCACCUCACCAAGACCUAAUUUUCAAGCACUACAGAACUUGCCAUUGGUCAGUUAUUGCAACUUCCUUUCCAUGUCUACACCUAGAAUGUGUUUUCAUUUUCAAGACAAUUGGAGCUUUAAAAACACAUUUGUGGAGGGUACAUCCAAAGACUGGCAA